CCUACGGGAGGCAGCAGUGGGGAAUAUUGGGCAAUGGGCGCAAGCCUGACCCAGCAACGCCGCGUGAAGGAAGAAGGCUUUCGGGUUGUAAACCUCUUUUGUUAGGGACGAAGCAAGUAACGGUAACUGUCGAAUAAGCCACGGCUAACUACGUGCCAGCAGCCGCGGUAAUACGUAGGUGGCAAGCGUUAUCCGGAUUUACUGGGUGUAAAGGGGGUGUAGGCGGGACUGCAAGUCAGAUGUGAAAACCACGGGCUCAACCUGUGGCCUGCAUUUGAAACUGGAGUUCUUGAGUACUGGAGAGGCAGACGGAAUUCCUAGUGUAGCGGUGAAAUGCGUAGAUAUUAGGAGGAACACCAGUGGCGAAGGCGGUCUGCUGGACAGCAACUGACGCUGAGGCGCGAAAGCGUGGGGAGCAAACAGGAUUAGAUACCCGAGUAGUC
rnacentral:rRNA from 1 species